CCUAGCUUGGACUAGACAUAUGCUAAAAUUCGAACGAUACAGAGAAGAUUAGCUCGGCCCUGCUCAAGGAUGACACGCAAAGACGUAAAGCGUUCCACAUUUUG